rnacentral:rRNA from 1 species
AGUGAACGCUGGCGGUAGGCCUAACACAUGCAAGUCGAACGGCAGCACAGUAAGAGCUUGCUCUUACGGGUGGCGAGUGGCGGACGGGUGAGGAGUACAUCGGAAUCUACUUUUUCGUGGGGGAUAACGUAGGGAAACUUACGCUAAUACCGCAUACGACCUACGGGUGAAAGCAGGGGAUCUUCGGACCUUGCGCGAUUGAAUGAGCCGAUGUCGGAUUAGCUAGUUGGCGGGGUAAAGGCCCACCAAGGCGACGAUCCGUAGCUGGUCUGAGAGGAUGAUCAGCCACACUGGAACUGAGACACGGUCCAGACUCCUACGGAGGCAGCAGUGGGGAAUAUUGGACAAUGGGCGCAAGCCUGAUCCAGCCAUACCGCGUGGGUGAAGAAGGCCUUCGGGUUGUAAAGCCCUUUUGUUGGGAAAGAAAAGCAGCAGGUUAAUACCCCGCUGUUCUGACGGUACCCAAAGAAUAAGCACCGGCUAACUUCGUG